UAGCAAACGGGAUUAGAUACCCCGGUAGUNCACGCCGUAAACGAUGUCAACUAGCCGUUGGGCCUAUAUACAGGUUUAGUGGCGGAGCUAACGUAUUAAGUUGACCGCCUGGGGAGUACGGCCGCAAGGUUAAAACUCAAAUGAAUUGACGGGGGCCCGCACAAGCGGUGGAGCAUGUGGUUUAAUUCGAUGCAACGCGAAGAACCUUACCUACCCUUGACAUCCAGAGAAUCUGUUAGAGAUAGUAGAGUGCCUUCGGGAACUCUGAGACAGGUGCUGCAUGGCUGUCGUCGGCUCGUGUCGUGAGAUGUUGGGUUAAGUCCCGUAACGAGCGCAACCCUUAUCCUUAGUUGCUAGCAGGUAAUGCUGAGAACUCUAAGGAGACUGCCGGUGAUAAACCGGAGGAAGGUGGGGACGACGUCAAGUCAUCAUGGCCCUUAUGGGUAGGGCUACACACGUGCUACAAUGGUCGGUACAGAGGGCCGCGAACUCGCGAGAGUAAGCAAAUCCCAGAAAGCCGAUCUUAGUCCGGAUUGCAGUCUGCAACUCGACUGCAUGAAGUUGGAAUCGCUAGUAAUCGCGAAUCAGGAUGUCGCGGUGAAUACGUCCCCGGGCCUUGUACACACCGCCCGUCACACCAUGGGAGUGGGUUGCAAAAGAAGUGAGUAGUCUAACCUUCGGGAGGGCGCUCACCACUUUGUG
rnacentral:rRNA from 1 species